rnacentral:rRNA from 1 species
CGGAGUGAACGCACCACUGGUGUUCGGGUUGUCAUGCCAAUGGCACUGCCCGGUAGCUAAGUGCGGAAAAGAUAAGUGCUGAAAGCAUCUAAGCACGAAACUUGCCCCGAGAUGAGUUCUCCCUGACCCCUUGAGGGUCCUGAAGGGACGUUGAAGACGACGACGUUGAUAGGCCGGGUGUGUAAGCGCAGCGAUGCGUUGAGCUAACCGGUACUAAUGACCCGUGAGGCUUAACCUUACAACGCCAGAGGCGUUU